rnacentral:tRNA from 1 species
GGACCAUUAGCUCAGAGGAUAGAGUGCUUGACUUCGAAUCAAGGCGUCGGGGGUUCGAGUCCCUCAUGGUCCA